AGAGUUUGAUCCUGGCUCAGGAUGAACGCUGGCGGCGUGCCUAAUACAUGCAAGUCGAGCGAACAGAUAAGGAGCUUGCUCCUUUGACGUUAGCGGCGGACGGGUGAGUAACACGUGGGUAACCUACCUAUAAGACUGGAAUAACUCCGGGAAACCGGGGCUAAUGCCGGAUAACAUGUUGAACCGCAUGGUUCUACAGUGAAAGGCGGCUUUGCUGUCACUUAUAGAUGGACCCGCGCCGUAUUAGCUAGUUGGUGAGGUAAUGGCUCACCAAGGCAACGAUAUGUAGCCGACCUGAGAGGGUGAUCGGCCACACUGGAACUGAGACACGGUCCAGACUCCUACGGGAGGCAGCAGUAGGGAAUCUUCCGCAAUGGGCGAAAGCCUGACGGAGCAACGCCGCGUGAGUGAUGAAGGUCUUCGGAUCGUAAAACUCUGUUAUUAGGGAAGAACAAAUGCGUAAGUAACUGUGCGCGUCUUGACGGUACCUAAUCAGAAAGUCACGGCUAACUACGUGCCAGCAGCCGCGGUAAUACGUAGGUGGCAAGCGUUAUCCGGAAUUAUUGGGCGUAAAGCGCGCGUAGGCGGUUUUUUAAGUCUGAUGUGAAAGCCCACGGCUCAACCGUGGAGGGUCAUUGGAAACUGAAAAACUUGAGUGCAGAAGAGGAAAGUGGAAUUCCAUGUGUAGCGGUGAAAUGCGCAGAGAUAUGGAGGAACACCAGUGGCGAAGGCGACUUUCUGGUCUGUAACUGACGCUGACGUGCGAAAGCGUGGGGAUCAAA
rnacentral:rRNA from 1 species